rnacentral:ncRNA from 1 species
CAAAAGUUUGGUCCUAGCUUUAAAGUUAAUUCUAACUAAAUUUAUACAUGCAAGUAUCCACAUACCAGUGAAAAUGCCCUAUUAGGAGCUGAUAUCAGGUACAACAAAAGUUAGCCUAAGACAUCUAGCUUAGCCACACCCCCACGGGCACGCAGCAGUGAUAAACAUUGAAAUAUAAGCAUUCAGCUUGACUCAGUUAUAGUUUUUAGAACUGGUUAAUCUCGUGCCAGCCACCGCGGUUACACGAAAAGUUCAAAUUAACACAAUCGGCGUAAAGCGUGAUAUAAAAUAUCCAACAACUAUGACCAAAAAAUUACCAAGCUGUAAUACGCAUUAGUGAAGAAUUAUGUACAACAAACGAAAGUAGUCUUAAUAUAUGGAUCAAUAAUCAUCACGAACGCUUAGACACAAACUGGGAUUAGAUACCCCACUAUGCUUAGCCAUAAAUCAUCUUACAUACUAAUAUCGCCAGAGUACUACAAGCAACAGCUUAAAACUCAAAGGACUUGGCGGUAUCCCAAACCCACCCAGAGGAGCCUGUUCUGUAAUCGACAAUACCCGCUAAACCUCACCACUCUUUGUUUUUCAGCCUAUAUACCGCCGUCGCCAGCUAACCUUCUGAAAGAAAACUAGUUAGCAAAAUGAGAUCUCUCAACACGUCAGGUCAAGGUGUAGCAAAUAGAGUGGGAAGAAAUGGGCUACAUUUUCUAACAAGAAUAUCAACGAAUGGCCUAAUGAAAUUUAUUUAAGCCUGAAGGAGGAUUUGGCAGUAAGCAAGAACAAUAAAAUCUUUCUUAAGCUGGCCAUGGGAUACGCACACACCGCCCGUCAUCCUCGUCAAAAUCAAUUCUACACUUCAUAAGUAUUUGCCGACUUAAAGAAGAGGAAAGUCGUAACAAGGUAAGUGUACUGGAAAGUGCUCUUGGAAUAAU